AGAAUCUGCCUGCAAUGCAGGAGGCCUGGGUUUUAUCCCUGGGUUGGGAAGAUCCCCUGGAGAAGAGCAUGGCAACCCACUCCAGUAUUCUUGCCUAGAGAAUCCCCAUGGACAGAGGAGCCUGGUGGGCUGCAGUCCAUGGGGUCGCAAAGAGUCAGACAAGACCGAGCGACUCAGCACAUUUUCACAGUUAGACAAUCAUAAGCCUGAUUGAGUGUUGGGCUGAACAUCCUUUCAAGAAAGCUGCAAUUAUAAAUUUUCAUGAACUAAGUGUUCAAAGAGAAAUCACAAAUUAUAGCCAUCCAGCAACACAGACCUCGUGAACUGCUCACAGGCUGUCACUCCACGGACAGGACAUGGAAGCAACCUAAAUGUCCAUCAACAGAGGAAUGGACAAAGAAGAUAAUGUAUGUGUACAAUGGAAUAUUACUCAGCCACAAAAAGGAAUGAAAUUGUGUCAUUUGCAGAGAUGUGGAUGGACCUAGAGACUCUCAUACAGAGUGAGAUGUUAAACCAAACUUACAUUCCUUGAUCAUGGCUUAAUUAUGGGGCUGGAUUCAAGUUUAUAACACAAAAUUGACUCAUCUGAUUGGCUGCAACUAUUCCUGCCUUGUUAUCUUGCUAUGAGUUACUAAGUAAGUUGCUACAUUAAAAAAGCAGAAUCUCAACCAUUGCUGGCAGCAUCUUGAUUUACCAACACGGUUGCUGAACAACAACAAAAGGUGCUCAGCUGCCUUGCCGCUGGCCCCCAUCAUCUCAUUCAGACAAGCAUGGGGACUCUUUGUCUACACGAUGUUUCGCAUGGAUGGAAGGAAGGCCCCAAAGGUAUUUGCCAAGGAAGACUAAACGUUUACCGAUGGUAGGUAUCUGAAGCCCUCAGAACAUCAACUUUCGAAGACUUGCCUUAACAAUAUGUAAGUAAACAGUAUGCUACCCAUCAGCACUACUGUGAGAACAGUUAACACAGGUGACAAGAAAAAUGAGACGAGGAAGACAGUUUUUGUCCUAAUCUUUUACUUCAUGAAGGAAACUUCUCAGAAAAAUAAGAAAGCAGACAGCAGAUGUUUUAGAUGUCUGGAUGUCUAGAUGUCUUAGUACUUUUCAAUUUGCUAUAAGAAUAAACAUUUAGGGUGCUAAUAACUGAAUGUAUCAGAUUACAUAUUUGUUUAGGUGUAGUGGUUUUUUGGAAAUGGCAACCCACUCCAGUGUUCUUGCCUGGAGAAUCCCAG
ensembl:lncRNA